rnacentral:rRNA from 1 species
UACGUAGGGGGCUAGCGUUGUCCGGAAUCAUUGGGCGUAAAGAGCGUGUAGGCGGCGUGGUACGUCCGCUGUGAAAGCCGGGGGCUCAACCCUCGAAUGCCGGUGGAUACUGUCGGGCUAGAGUGCGGAAGAGGCGAGUGGAAUUCCUGGUGUAGCGGUGAAAUGCGCAGAUAUCAGGAGGAACACCGAUUGCGAAGGCAGCUCGCUGGGACGUAACUGACGCUGAGACGCGAAAGCGUGGGGAGCAAACAGG